GACGAACGCUGGCGGCGUGCCUAAUACAUGCAAGUAGAACGCUGAAGCGAGGAGCUUGCUCUUCUUGGAUGAGUUGCGAACGGGUGAGUAACGCGUAGGUAACCUGCCUUGUAGCGGGGGAUAACUAUUGGAAACGAUAGCUAAUACCGCAUAACAAUAGGUGACACAUGUCAUUUAUUUGAAAGGGGCAAUUGCUCCACUACAAGAUGGACCUGCGUUGUAUUAGCUAGUAGGUGAGGUAACGGCUCACCUAGGCGACGAUACAUAGCCGACCUGAGAGGGUGAUCGGCCACACUGGGACUGAGACACGGCCCAGACUCCUACGGGAGGCAGCAGUAGGGAAUCUUCGGCAAGGGGGGCAGCCCUGACCGAGCAACGCCGCGUGAGUGAAGAAGGUUGUCGGAUCGUAAAGCUCUGUUGUAAGUCAAGAACGAGUGUGAGAGUGGAAAGUUCACACUGUGACGGUAGCUUACCAGAAAGGGACGGCUAACUACGUG
rnacentral:rRNA from 1 species